GCCUGGGUGGCUCAAUAGGUUGGGCAUCUGAUUUCGGCUCAGGUCAUGAACUCACGGUUCAUGGGUUCGAGCCCCACGUCAGGCU
rnacentral:tRNA from 1 species